AGCAGUAGCCGCGGGAAUACGUAGGGUGCGAGCGUUAAUCGGAAUUACUGGGCGUAAAGCGUGCGCAGGCGGUCGUGUAAGACAGGUGUGAAAUCCCCGGGCUUAACCUGGGAACUGCGCUUGUGACUGCACAGCUAGAGUAUGGCAGAGGGGGGUGGAAUUCUACGUGUAGCAGUGAAAUGCGUAGAGAUGUGGAGGAACACCGAUGGCGAAGGCAGCCCCCUGGGCCAAUACUGACGCUCAUGCACGAAAGCGUGGGGAGCAAACAGGAUUAGAUACCCGCGUAGUCCCUGUCUCUUAUAC
rnacentral:rRNA from 1 species